rnacentral:miRNA from 1 species
GUGGGGUGGUGGUGGCGGCUCUGGACUGGUGCCUGCCCCAGAAGUACCUGGCAGCCCCGAGCUCUC